rnacentral:siRNA from 1 species
GCUCUUCAAGGUGAUAUCUAGAC